rnacentral:rRNA from 1 species
CGGUAUGCUUAACACAUGCAAGUCGAACGGUAACAGGCCUUCGGGCGCUGACGAGUGGCGGACGGGUGAGUAACGCGUAGGAAUCUGCCUCGUAGUGGGGGACAACGUGGGGAAACUCACGCUAAUACCGCAUACGCCCUAAGGGGGAAAGGAGGGGAUCUUCGGACCUUUCGCUAUGAGAUGAGCCUGCGUUAGAUUACCUAGUUGGUAGGGUAAAGGCCUACCAGGGCGACGAUCUAUAGCUGGUCUGAGAGGACGAUCAGCCACACUGGGACUGAGACACGGCCCAAACUCCUACGGGAGGCAGCAGUGGGGAAUAUUGGACAAUGGGCGAAAGCCUGAUCCAGCAAUACCGCGUGUGUGAAGAAGGCCUUAGGGUUGUAAAGCACUUUCAAUUGGG